rnacentral:tRNA from 1 species
AGUCCUGUAGUGUAGCGGUCAAUCAUUUCGGCCUUUGGAGCCGGCGACAACGGUUCGAAUCCGUUCAGGACUA